rnacentral:tRNA from 1 species
GCCUCGGUAGUGUAAUGGAUGAGAGCACGGUGCCCGUAUAGCACAAGUAAGGGGUUCGAGUCCCGUUCGAGGCA